ACUCCUACGGGAGGCAGCAGUGGGAAUUUUGGACAAUGGGCGCAAGCCUGAUCCAGCAAUACCGCGUGCAGGAAGAAGGCCCUUCGGGUUGUAAACUGCUUUUGUACGGAACGAAAAGGUCUUGGUUAAUACCUGGGCGUCAUGACGGUACCGUAAGAAUAAGCACCGGCUAACUACGUGCCAGCAGCCGCGGUAAUACGUAGGGUGCAAGCGUUGUCCGGAAUUAUUGGGCGUAAAGAGCUCGUAGGCGGUUUGUCACGUCUGCUGUGAAAAUCCAAGGCUCAACCUUGGACUUGCAGUGGGUACGGGCAGGCUAGAGUGCGGUAGGGAGAUGGGAAUUCCUGGUGUAGCGGUGGAAUGCGCAGAUAUCAGGAGGAACACCAAUGGCGAAGGCACAUCUCUGGGGCCGUAACUGACGCUGAGGAGCGAAAGCGUGGGGAGCGAACAGGAUUAGAUACCCUGGUAGGUCAGU
rnacentral:rRNA from 1 species